rnacentral:rRNA from 1 species
ACAGCAGCAGCCGCGGUAAAACGGAGGGAGCUAGCGUUGUUCGGAAUUACUGGGCGUAAAGCGCACGUAGGCGGUUAUUCAAGUCAGAGGUGAAAGCCCGGGGCUCAACCCCGGAACUGCCUUUGAAACUAGAUGACUGGAAUCUUGGAGAGGUCAGUGGAAUUCCGAGUGUAGAGGUGAAAUUCGUAGAUAUUCGAAAGAACACCAGUGGCGAAGGCGACUGACUGGACAAGUAUUGACGCUGAGGUGCGAAAGCGUGGGGAGCAAACAGGAUUAGAUACCCGCGUAGUCCCUGUCUCUUAUAC